CAGGAGCGGGGGUGGAGGGGGUGCGUGCAUGGUGUCAGAAGGAGGCCUCGGCAUCAAACGUGCGCAUGCAGCUUGACAGCAGGAGGACAACAAGGGAAUGUUCUCUGCCUCAUCUUCAUCCCUGGAAAAUGUCACAACACCAAGUCCCACAUCACCGCUCCAUUCUGGACCAUUAAUCGUUAAUAGGGCAACCCUCUAGAAAUGAGAUUGUGAUCGCCGUCGCUGUUCUGCUGACACCAAGUUGUCACGGUGAUCGGCGCGGAGGAGAAGACGCUUCCGGGAGACUGAUAUGGUUGGCAGGUUAAGGCUUCCCCCGCCUCGGGCCACUCACCUGUCAUCUCAGGUGAACACUGGUGUCAGAUGAGUGGAUAUGAUGGGACUGUGACACACUGGACCCCCUUUGUGGUCCUCAGUCACAGGAACUAAGUAUCAACUCAAGACUCUGAUGGU